AGUUUAGCAUCAAUAUGGUGACCUCUGGGAGCAGGGGACCACCAGGUUGCCUAAGGAGGGGUGAACUGGACCAGGUAAGAAAUUGAGCAGGUUGAAAUUCCCAUGCCAUUCU
rnacentral:SRP_RNA from 1 species